GCUUAACCGUAUUCAACACUAAUAAGAAAAUCCAGUUCAUACUCUUUCCGUCAAUUCUCAUGGAUAGCUACUGUCACAUGAAUAUUAGCAAAUUAUCCAUAUUUCAAGCAAUGAAAAUUUAACCAAUAAAUGGAUUCCAAUUGGAUUUAACCAGAUUCUAUUCAUCGUUCGAAUUAAUACACACAAAUAAAUGCUAGCAUAGCGAUACAUGAAUUAAACAAGCUCAUGAUUUACUAUCUAGAACAGAUCUUAGGGUAGUUGACUGAUGAUCAUACCUAUAUACUCAAGGACUUAAUUUUGAAGACAACGAAGCCAACAACAUGCUAAUUGCAGCAGAAUAUUGAGCCCAGCUCCAAUAAAGCCUUCAACAGACUUUGUACCUACAGUGACUUUGCGUCAAGGAAAGGCUGCCGACCGAACCUCCGACAAGCAGGAUAACACAACCGCAAACGUCAAGCCUCACCAGCGAAUCAGAUCCGCAGAAUCUUGAAUGAACGACGGAACAGGGACCUCGAAUAGCUACCUCCGGCUACCUCGAACUCACACUCAAUAUAGUUUUCAGACGAGCACUCGAAGUAGCGAAGCAAUUUAGAGCAGCAAAAUGCUUUUUCGGAAAUUGAUUAUUGAAUCGACCCCAACAGAAAUGUACAUCAGAUCGCGACGAGAAACAAGCAAUAAAAUCAAUGAUAAAAAAUUCAACAAAUCUCAGACUCAAUCACAAUGAAUAACAAGUUGGCUACGUCGGAAACGAAUAGAGAACGAAGAGUGGAACCUCGAUGAUGACAUCUAAUGAAACCUCUGAUUUUCCGACUCACAUUGACUACUCUUGGCCUGUUUCGAACUAGACACAGAGAUUCAAAGGGUGGUUUGCAAUUUUUGUAAUUUUGUGUGUGUGUUUUUCUAUUUACACCAGUGUAUCGAUGGGGUGUGUAGGUGGUAGAAGACGAGGCAGAAGCUGGGGGAAAUCGACGGUGUGGGUGGUCGACGGAGGUUUUUGCGUGGGGAUCGUCGUUUGGCAAUAGAACCUGGUGGUAUGAGGCUCGACGACUGGUGAAGGGUGGUCGAUGGAAGGGGUCAUUUGGUUUUUUGAAGAAGGAGGAGCAAGUGGUCGUUUGGGCAAAGCUUCUCACAUGGAGAAGAUCCCUAAACAGUAGUGUCCGUCCGUUUUUUGUGUGACUUUUUCACUUUUUUUUCAAUGGUUGAUGGCUUCCCCUUUUUGUGUUGUGUGGAAAUGGUUAUAUAGAGUGUAUGGGUAGGGUGUUAUGUGGGAGAGUUUUAUUUGAGGGAAGGUGUUAUGUGAGGUAUAAUUUAGGGGGGAAAGUUUUAGGUGGGGGAAUAUUUUGGGAGGAAGGUCUUAGGUCGGAGAAAUGAUUUGGUGGAAAAAUAUUUUGGGGAAGGUUCUUUCCAUUUUGUAUUUUUUUUUAUCUUCCGUUUUUGAAUUUAUUUAUUUAAUUUGUGUUUUUUUCUGAUUUUGUUAAAUGUUAAAUUAAAACCCAAAGCCAAAUUAACGCUAAAAAUUAGAUUUCCUAAUUAACUCCUAAUUAAAAUGCAAACUAGUAGCAAUUUAAAUUUAAAAUGCAAAAGGUACUAUUUUUGUUAUUUUCUUCCUAGUUUAUUCUAAAAGAAAUUAACCCUAAAUUAAUCCUAAAAUAUGAAAUUAGAUCCUAAAUGCAAAUGCGUAUUUUUGUAUUUUAUUAUUGUGAUUUUAAAAUAUUAAAAUGCAUGAAAAAAAGGUAAUAUUUUUAUAAUUUUCUUCCUAUUUUGUUCUAAAAAAAACUAACCCUUAAUUAAUCCUAAAAUAUAAAAUUAGAUCCUAAUUGCAAAUGCGUAUUUUUGUAUUUAUUAUUGCGAUUUUAAGAUAUUAAAAUGUAUGAAAUGAGACUACAAAAGAAAAAAUUUCUAAAAGAGCAAUAAAAAUUACUUUGACUUAUAUUUAGGAGUUAUCUUCAUGUAGGGUAAAAAUCACGUGCGUACAGCUGCCCCUCUUUGCUCGGAAACACGAAGAGUUUUCGGGCAAAGAUAAAGUAAGCACUGAAACUCCAUAUGAAACUCCAUGAGAUUCAUUUUUUGAAAAACUGUAUGACCGAACCUUGUUUCAAAGGUUACCUACAUAUCAUUGGCUAUAAAGAAAUCAGGUCAAGUGUAGUUCAGAAGUCAACGAGCAUGUGAAUCAUUUUUUUGAAAACUGUCUGACCGAAUGUUGCUUCAAAGGUUUCCUACAUAUCCUUGGCUAUAAAGGAAUCAUGUCAGGUGUAGUUCAGAAGUGAAUGAGGUGAUGGAAUACCGAGGUUAAGAGUCGAGGUUCCGUCCGAGGCUUCGGUCCGCUGUCCUAUUAUUACAUCAAAAUUGAAAAAGACUAACUAAGUCUAUCAGCUACGAGUUUCAAGAUUCCUAUCUAUAAGUAUUAUGAAGCUUGAUCUUGAGUCUUGGUUGGUGCUUCAUGCGGACGCUGAUCUGAAUCUUGAUGUUUGUUAGUCGCAGGUGUUAGUUCAAUCUUCUUCAGCUUUUGGAUCAAGACCGGACACGUAGUGUUCAUGACUUCAACUGCGUCUUGAGCAGUUCUCAUCUUUCCCUACUGCAGAAUUUGAAGCUCACUUCUUUUGUUAUUUUUUUUCUUUUCUUUAUUUUGCAUUGAGAUUCAUUCUUUUUGUUAUUUUUUUUCUUUUCUUUAUUUUGGAUUGAGAUUCAUUCGUUCUAUCAUCUCGAAUCGUGUGCCUCGAGGCCAAACCUGCUCGACACCUUGAACCAUUUUUCCUCGAAACUUGAACUGUCUUCCUUCGAAAUUGCUUUCCCUUGAAACUUGAGUUGUCUUCCGUCGAUACUGCUUUACCUUGGAACUUGAGUUGUCUUCCCUUGCUCUCCAGGUGAAAUCCAUUGUUGCCAUUUUGAAUUGUAAACUAAGAUGUUCUCCCUUCUUCAAACUGCUGAACUUGAAUGUAUUCCUCAGUUAUCCAGGCGGGUUCCUAACUUUACAAAAUAGACAAAACAAAGAAAACUUGCUGCCCCAGUUCGGAAAACUAGGGCUUGUUACCAUAUAUUAUCAAAAAUUGAAAACUAAAACUUGAAUUGUGAUAAGACUGAAACGUCACAAUAGAAAUUUAAAGACUGAAAUAUAUUCCUCUAUUAUCCAGGCGAGCUCCUGACCUCAAAACUUAAAUAAUUUAAAAAAUGAGAUAUCUCAAAACUUCAAGUUUAAAGACUGAAAUGUAUUCCUCUGUUAUCCAGGCGGGCUCUUGACCUCAAAACUUGAAAAUUUAAAGUCUGAUAUAUUUCAAAACUUCAAUUUUAAAGACUGAAAUGUAUUUCAAACUUAAAAUUAAAAAUUUAUCGUAGGUGAAAAUUUCAUCAGACUAAGAUUUUUAUCUUAGGUAAAAGAUUCAACGAACUAAGAUUCUUACCCUUAUCUUAGGUGAAAAAUUCAUCAGACUAAGAUUUUUAUCUUAGGAGAAAGAUUCAACAGAAUAAGAUUCUGACCUUCUAUCUUAGGUGAGAUUCACCCGACCAUGAUUUUCAUCUUAGGUGAAAGUUUCAACGGACUAAGAUUCUGACUCUAGGAGAUAAUUCAUCGGACUAUGUCCAUUUUUUGUGAUCUCAGUAGAAAGAUUCAUCGGACUGAGAUUUUAAAUCUAGGGGAUAAUACAUCAGACUAGGUCCAUUUUUGCGUGAUCUAAGGAGAUAUAUUCAUCAAACUGAGAUUUUGACUCUAGGCAAAAUUCAUCAAACUAGGUCCAUUUUUGUGUGAUCUCAGGAAAAUAAUUCAUCGGACUGAGAUUUUGACUCUAUGAGAUAAUUCAUCAGACUAGGUCCAUUUUUGUGUGAUCUUAGGAGAAAAAUUCAUCGUACUGAGAUUUUGACUCUAGGAGAUAUUCAUCAGAAUAGGUCCAUUAUCGACUUCAUACUUUCUUAAUUUUCCAAUUUCAAUUUCUUUUCUUUUCAAAUUCUGCCUUCCUUUCUUGUUGUCUUCCUUUCCUUUUUUACGACUUCUGCCUUCCCCUUCUUUAAAUUAUGCCUUCUUUUCUUUUCCAAAUUAUGCCUUUAUCUUAGGUGAAAGAUUCAACAGACUAAAAUUUUUUAUCUUAGGUGAAAAAUUCAGCAGACUAAGAUUUUAACCUUGGGUGAAAGAUUCAACAGACUAAGAUUCUUCAUCUUAGGUGAAAAAUUCAUCAGACUAAGAUUUUUCUUUCAAUUAAUCAUUUCCUCCGAACUUGUUUUAACUACACUCUAACUUGAAUUAUCCUCCUUCAGUACCAUUUCCCUAAAAACUGGUGUUUCAUUUCCUCCGAAAAUUACUCCAUUUCCUCCAAACUUGUUUUAACUAUCCUCUAACUUGAAUUAUCCUCCUUCAGAACCGAUUUCUUAAACACUGGUGUUGUCCUCCUUCAAAACCAUUUCCCUAAGAAUAGUGUUUCAAUCCUCCAAAAAUUAUUUUUCUUAAAACUGGUGUUUCUUUCAUGAAAAUUACUUCUCUCUCUUUUCUUUUUUUUUUUUAUUUCAAAAACUUGUAUUGACCUCAUGCUUUUCAAGAAAAUUUUCAACAUGAUAUAAAAGUUUUUGCCCCAAUUUGAUAAUGCUCCUGUAGCAGAUCUUUCCAUGCCCCUGUUUCAAAUCAAAGAAAAUUCAGUCAGUUUAAAACGCGAUGGUUGGUUCUCCUGGGAUGACUUUCAUUUUCUCCUUUCCAUGCUUUGCAUUGUCUGACCAUCUUUGAAAAUUGGUUGAUGAAUUCUGCACUUCUUGAUGACUCCUUAUUCACCAACCUCUCAAUUAUUACUUAUAGUCUUCUUAUCAGACCCCAUAUGUCUCCUGUGACGCCUGAUCCUUCUUGAAGAUCCUGCGUGUGCACUGAUUAACCACUUUCUCCGUUUCGCCAAACAUACCUUUUCUGCAUUCAAAUCCUAUACCUUUUGUUUGUUGCACUGUUCCUAUACUGACUUUUACCAAUCCUUGUGCCUCAACCCAAAGCAUGCUGAUUAUUACUAGCUCAAUGCUCUUGUUGUUUUUUGGCUUGUGAUGCUUUGAUAUGCUAGCCAGAACCCAUCUUGUGUAAUUGGAAAGCUGGUGGCAAAUUUUGAAAUUAUUUCUCACUUGUUAUGACAAAAAAGACUCAGAAAGGGGAAACGAACAAAACAGAGGAAUGGAGUGAAAGAAAAAGAAAGAGAUGAAUCCUAAAGGGAAAACUAUGAAGUAGAAACCUAUCAUAUGAGGAUACCAACGCUAAUGACCAUGACAUGCACUUACAACUAUUCUGUCAGUCAAUCCUGACGUUCAGCUCUUGUUAUACCUUUCGUUGUGAAACUGCGCUUGAAUUUCUGCUUAUCCUAUCUUAUUUACAUUCCUUAUUUGGCUUGUAGUGCCCAAAGGGUUUUCACCAACAAACUUCUCUCAUUUGUUCUUUCUGUCAACUUACCGUCGCCUCAAGGUGCCCAUGAGGGUUUUCACCAAUAAGACUCUCUCAUUUUUUAUUUUUCUCAGCUUUUAUCACCUUGAGAUACCCGUGAAGGUUUCAUCAAUCUGACGUUCUCAUUUAUUCUUCUUUUUUGAGCCGGAGUGUUUUCCCUAACAUGACUUACCCUUACCUGCUUGACUUGGCAUUUCUUAAAGAUUGAUAAAAAGGUCUUUUUUGGACCGUAAUGCGGCUUUUGGGACGGGGGUUAGAAAGAAAGGAUAUAGAGGCUUAAAACAAUUCAAAAUGGGGUUAAAACUACAACUUUCGGAAUCUGAUUUCUUUCAACAAUCACAACUUCUACCCUAGUUUCUUGCUUGGGAACUUUUGGAAUUUUAUUUUGGUAUGACUGAACCUCAGAGAGGCUGCCUAUGUACCCUUUCGGGAUCAAGUCAAAAGUAGUUCAUGUCAUAAAAACUACGUUGUUGUGAUUUUCUUUUCUCUCUUUUUCCUGUUCUUUCUUGGUUUUUCCUUUCUUUUCUUCAUUUUCUUUUUCUUCUACGUUAUUGUGAUUUUCUUUCUCUUUUUUUUCUGUUUUUCUUGCUUUUUCCUUUCUUUUCUUCAUUUUUCUUUUCUUUCUUUUCUUUUCUUUCCUUUCUUUUCUUUUCUCUUUCUUUCUUUUCUUUUAUUUUGUCUUCUUUUCUUUCCCAUUUUUUCCUCUCUUUUUCCUUUUCUCUUCUUCUUCUUUUCCUUCUUCUUUUCCUUUCAUACCUUUUCUUUUUCCAUCUUUUCCCAUUUGCUUAUCUCCGGCACUUGCAUUUCUUUGAUUGUGCCAUUAAUUCUGAAAGAGGGGUAUGAAAGAAAAUAAAAACGGUUCAAAAGGGUAGCAGAACAAAAUGCCUUCGUCAUUUCAACCCUUAAAAUAUGCCAAGUACAAACAAGUACAAUCAGAAUAUAGAAACCAUACACAUCAUCUCCUGACCGCAUCAGAAUUGACGGCCAUUUUCACACAUUUUCCUUCUAUAUCUGUCAGAUGUAAUGUGUCAUUGGGCUACACUCUUACUCUUAUUACCAUGACCGGCCCCCUGUUAAUUUGGCCAACUUGCUUUUGCGGGGAUUUGUAAUGUUUUAGUUGCUCCGGUUUCACAUGGUUCGGGCGUCAAACAAUCUCACAACGGACCCCUUGUUAAUUUGGCCAACUUGAUUUUGUGAGGAUUUUUAUGUUUUACUUGCGUCGGUUCCACAUGGUUCGGGCGUCAAACAAUCUCACAACGUCCAAAUCUAUUCUUAUUUCCUCAAAUGCCCUUAUUGUCUUCAAAAUGGUUUCAAAGCUCAUACCGAGAAUUAUGCGUGCAUGUCAUGUCACUAGAACCGGCACGAAACAAAAGGCAAAACAAAGUGAUAAAGAAGAACUAAAGAAAAUGACAGGAGGUAACAAAAGACCGGAAUUUGCAUUAGACAAACGGUGAAACAAUUCAUAUAAAAAAACAAGAAAAACAAACUGGAGUACAACCCUAAAACACAUCUGGAGAACACUAAACAAACCACUACGACUAAGCAAGCUAGACAAUGAAAGGAUAAGAGGGUUUGACCACAAGACAAUAUCCGGAUUACAACCCUGAAAAUAACCCGGACAACAGAAAUGACAAUAAAAUAAACCUCCAAGGCUUCUCUCCAGCUAGCCAAGACAUGAAGCGUCUUUUCAAUUACCAAUCUCGACAUCUUAGACACUGAGUUCCGCACCAAUAUUGCCAAGAUCAUUACCAACUUCGAUAUCAUCAACUUCAGUAAAACAGUUCCCAAGAGGAUUCGCAUGCUCCCUAUCACUGUCAUUAAGCACGAUUACCCUUCUUGAAUCAUUCUUUCUAUUUCCUUUUUUGAAUCCGACAAUUCUCCACAUUGUGCCCCUGAGCAUUGGAGUGGUAUUCACACCUUUUAGAUGAGUCAAAGCUUCUGGCAUGUUGGUCCACCUGAUUUGGAGGAAUAGGUGCAAUCAUGUCAUGUUGUUUUAACUUCUCAAAUAAACUUGGAUAGGACUCCCCUAUUGGUGUAAAACUAUCUUUCAACUUUUGUUCCCUUCUAUACCCCUGGCUUGGAUUGCAUAUGACUCUCCUAUUGGUGCAAAACCAUCUUUCAGCUUUUCUCCCUUCUAUACCCCUGUCUUUGAUGUGGGGCAUAAGGUACUUGGAAAGUUUGUGGAGGCGGGUAGAGAUUUUGUGAUACUCGUGCUCGUUUUCUUGGGUGAUUUGAUGGUUGGGCAACAUACUGGGAUGGAUCAACAGAGUAUGGGGGUUCAGAGGUGGAUAGUAAUGCUGAUUGGGGUCAUAGAAAACAUGAUGAGGCUGCACAUACCUUUCGAGCUGUUCUCCUAAGACCUCUUCUCGACCCUGAUAUCAUCAUGAUUUCUUCAUCCCUCUCAUUCGUGUUACCAGAUUCAAUUUGGACAGCCUGAGCUGCAGUUUUGAGAGCUUUUUGACUUAUAAUUCAGCCCGUCUUAAUACUGUUCUCCACCAUUUCUCCCAAUUUGAUUGCUUCAGGAAGGAUGUACCCACUGCAGACGUUAUAUAUUGAAAAUAAUCUGACUCUUGAGCCUGCAUAAAGACAACGAUUUAACUCGUGGUCAUCCAUGGGUGGCUUAGCUCUAGCUGCGUCGUCUCUCCAUUUGAUGGCAUAUUCCUUGAAACUUUCAGUUGGUUUCUUUUUCAGGUUAGAAAGUAAAAUGCGGUCUGGGGCGACGUCGAUGUUGUACUGAAAUUGUUUGACAAAGGCUCGUGCCAUGUCAACCCAGACGUACCAGCAAGAUCUGUCUUGAUCCAAAAACCAUUUAGAUGCUACUCCCGAGAGGCUUUCCCUAAAAUAAGCAAUAAGCAAUUGUUCCUUUUCUCCCAUACCUCUCAAUUAGUUGUAAUACCUUUUCAGGUGGGCUAUGGGGUCUCCAUGUCCAUUGUAAUUUUCAUAUUUGGGAACCUUGAAGCCAGGCGGCACCUGGACAUCGGGGAACAUGCAUAAAUCUCCGAAGGCAACACUCUUUUGACCUGCCAUUGCUUGCGUGUUUUUCAGCCAUUGUUCCAAUCUUUUCACUCAUUGGGCUAUUUCUUCCUAUACCCUCUUUCGAGUAGGCUUCUCGAUGUUUGUAGCAAGAUCAAAUGAGUACGACUGGUACUCGGGAGAGUGGUACUGUUCGACAGUACUUGGGCAUCAAAUUUUAUCCAAAUAUUAGCUCCCUUUUCGGGUAGGCUUCUCGAUGUUUGCAGGAAGAUCAAAUGAGUACGACAGGUACUUGGGAGAGUGGUACUAUUAUCACUUCGCAGCAAAUCGUGACUCGUGACAAGGCUGUCCAUUGGCCUAGCUUGACGCAUUUUUGUCAUUUGUUGUUUCAAUGCUCUAUUUCCCUCAACCACAGUGGACCUUUGUUAAACCCUCUUACCUGAGUCUCUUGAGAAAUCGUAAUAGCUUCGAUGUCAGUUAUUAUUUUCCUCGGAUCUUGUGUUUCUAACUUACCACAACCAACCACCUCAACUUUAUUCACAAUUUGAAACAAAACAUGUUAGAAUGGAUUGGGUCGGUCCUCAUUAUUCACAACAUCUUUUUUCCAUCUUUUGAUUUUCUUUUUCAUUUUUUUGGUUUUUGAUUGUGGUCGAAUCCUAUGUGGAUUGCCUACGUAUCGUGACCCCGCACGAAUCACACCAGGCGUAGUUCAUGCCAAUAAAAGGUAAACGACAAUAAAAUAUUUUUAGAAUUUUCUAUUUUUUAUAAUAACCACAAAAUAGUUUUGGUAUUCACUAGACCACUGACUUUUCUUAUUUUUUUCAAAAUAAAUGACUCAGUAUUGCAAACACGGUCUUCCAACGCUUUGGGGACGAAGAUUAUAAGGCUGUGAGGGUAAGAAAUAAAAAUAUGACCAAAGGUGGCUAUUUAUGCAAGGUUAGCCUUCCGGCGUUCCAUAUGGGAACAUUUGGCUAUUUUUGACAAAAACGGCAUCACUUGGUUUAUUUUUGACAAAAAUAAAAUUUUCCAUUUUUUUUGCUAUUUUUGUAAAGGGGAGGUUGGACUCAAUGAGGGUUGCCUACGUAUCUCACGCCCUGUGAGAAUCAAACCAUGCGUAGUUCGGAAAUAAACUAACUAAAAUUUAAAAACAAAACUUUUCCCAAGCUUUUCUCUAUUUUCUAUUUUUUGAAAUCAAAUCAAAAUGACCAUUUUUUUCUCUAUUUUUCAAACAAUUUUCCUAAAAUAAAACUCUUUUUUUUUCUAUUUUUCUUUUACUUAUAAUAAAAUAAACUACAAAAAACAUUUUCUUUUUUAUUUUAUUUUUUAAAAUUUUGGCAGAGUUUCGACAGUACUUGGGCAUCACAUUUCAUCCAAAUAUUAGCUCCCUAACUGCUAUUUCUCUCAUUUUCUCUUUUUUGACUUUUCUCAAAUUUCGACAUUCCAAAAACCGAUCAACAUGCAGGUUCGACCAAAUAAAUGCACAGAAUAAGUAGGAUGCACCAAGAUGGUCUUUUUAUUUCAGGGUGCUAGCCCUAGACGGACCCAACCCUUGUGUUGAGUUCCCUAAGUCAAAUGCAACAUGAUGCAAAUAAGAGUUCCUACUAGGGAUCCUACAUGAAGUCAAGUUAUUCUAUGUUCAAAACCUGGGUCGGUGUUCUAGACAGUGUACCCGAGCGGAAAACUCGAAUCGAUGAGGGGACAACUUAUCGGUGAACCGCGGGGUCAGGCGGCUUAGUAACUUAUCCGGCCUCUUUCUUAUUUUAGGGUAUGACACUAACAGAAUAGGGAGGCUCAACCAGUAAGCACAUCCCAGGAGGUAGAGAGAGAAGGGUAUCGCAACAGUUUAUAUACAGUUCAGAUAAUAUCAAAGCGGUAACAAUUAGCACAUUAAGCACAAAGCANNNNNNNNNNNNNNNNNNNNNNNNNNNNNNNNNNNNNNNNNNNNNNNNNNNNNNNNNNNNNNNNNNNNNNNNNNNNNNNNNNNNNNNNNNNNNNNNNNNNNNNNNNNNNNNNNNNNNNNNNNNNNNNNNNNNNNNNNNNNNNNNNNNNNNNUAACAAUUUAUCUAAGCUCGAAUUCUGAACCCUGAACAAAAUGUUCUGGGUUCUUGUCCCCAGCAGAGUCGCCAGAGCUGUCACACCUCCUUUUUCCGCUAUACACCCCCGCAAAAUGGCCUAAAGGAGUUUUUCCACUUAAAGGACAAUCGGGACGGGAUUUGAUUAUUAAAGAUUUAGAGUCGCCAUUUGGGAGUUUUAUGGUGUCCCAAGUCAUCGGUUUAAUCCCGAACCGAGGAAAAGAUUGACUCUGUAUUACAGUCUAUGAACCAGAAAUCCGGAUAAGGAAUUCUGGUAACCCGGGAGAAGGUGUUAGGCAUUCACGGGUUUCGUGGUUCUAGCACAGUCGCUUAACUGUUGUAUUUGAUUUUAUCUGAUUUUAAUACAUGCUAACUUAUGUGCCUUCUAUUUAUAUACCGCUUUUACCAUUAUUUAUUUUAAAAGACUUGCGACGUCGGGAAAACACGUCUCAAACCACGUCGCCAUCAAGGCACCUGUAGUCAUCUACAUAUUUUGACUUCAUCGAGAUUUGGAUUUGGAUCGCAUCAAUGCGCACCAGAGCUUAAGAACAUAAAUUAAUUCAAUCGCGCUUAAAGGUUCUAAAUUAAUAUUAUUUCGGAAAGACCUUUGAAAUUCGCUAAACGGCCCUUCCGAAUUCUAAUCAUUUUUAAUAACCAAAUAUUGAGGGCCCCACAUUUAUUUGUAUUCGGUGAGGCUCGUCUCCAUUUUUGAACCCUUUUUUAUCAUUAUUUAUUUUAUAAGAAUUACGACAUCAUGAAAACGUGUUUCAAACCCCGCCGCCAUCAAGGCACCCGUGUUUAUCAACAUAUUUCUACUUCGUCGAGAUUUGGAUUUGGGUCGCAUCAAUGCGCACCCGAGUUUAAGAAAGUAAUUAUUAUUGACUAACGUGCCUAAAGUAAUUCCGCAUUUUGUAAUUUACGAGGGCCAUGGAAUUUGCUAAAUGGCACGGUACGAAAUCUGAGGAAAUAUAUAUAAUCAGCUAAGCCAUAUUUGAGUUAUUGUUGAAUCACGUAUUCGCCACUUCAAUUCACAUCUGUGAUGCUGUUGGGCCUAACAUAGUUUAACCUUGGUAAAGCCAAAUAAAACUAUUAAUUUACUAUAUCAUAAGUGAUUUGAAACUUUUAAUCAUAGCUCAUUCUACAAAUUAAUCCUACCCAAAUACAGUUUAGAAUAGUAUUUAUUGAAGAAGGAAAGAAACGGCAAAAAAAAAAAAACUUAACCAUCUUUGCAACAGAGGCUUAACCGUAUUCAACACAAAUAAGAAAACCCAAUUCAUACUCUUUCCGUCAAUUCUCAUGGAUAGCUACUGUCACAUGAAUAUUAGCAAAUUAUCCACAUUUCAAGCAAUGAAAAUUGAACCAAUAAAUGGAUUCAAAUUAGAUUUAACCAGAUUCUAUUCAUCGUUCAAAGUAAUACACACAAAUAAAUGCUAGCAUUAGCGAUACAUGAAUUAAACAAGCUCAUGAUUUACUAUCUAGAACAGAUCUUAGGGUAGUUGAGUGAGGAUCAUACCUAUAUACUCAAGGACUUAAUUUUAAAGACAAGGAAGCCAAAUACUUGCUAAUUGCAGCAGAAUAUUGAGCCCAGCUCCAAUGAAGCCUUCAACAGACUUUGUACCUACAGUGACUUUGUGUCAAGGAAAGACUGCCGACUGAACCUCCGACAAGCCGGAUAACACAGCAGCAAACGUCAAGCCUCAUCGACGAAUCAGAUCUGCGAACAGAACCUUGAAUGAACGACGGAACAGGGACCUCGAAUAGCUACCUCCGGCUACCUCGAACUCACACUCAAUAUAGUUCUCAGACGAGCACUCAAAGUAGCGAACCAAUUUAGAGCAGCAAAAUGCUUUUUUCGAAUUCGAUUAUUGAAUCGACCCCAACAAAAAUGUACAUCAGAUCGCAACGGGAAACAAGCAACAAAACCAAUGAUCGAAAAUUCAACGAAUCUCAGAUUCAAUUACAAUGAAUAACAAGUUGGUUCCGUUGGAAACGAACAGAGAACGACGAGUGGAACCUCGAUGACGACCUCUAAUGAAACCUCUGAUUUUCCGACGCACAUCGACUACUCUUGUCCUGUUUCGAACUAGACACAGAGAUUCAAAGGGUGGUUUGCUUUUUUUGUGUGUGUUUUUCUGUUUACACCAGUGUAUCGAUGGGGUGUGUUGAUGGCUGAAGACAAGGCAGAAGCUGGGGGAAAUCGACGGUGUGGGUGGUCGACGAAGGAUUUUGCGUGGAGAUCGUCGUUUGGCAAUAGAACCUGGUGGUAUAGAGGCUCGACGACUGGUGAAUGGUGGUAUAUGGAAGGGGUCGUUUGGUUUUUUGAAGAAGGAGCAGCAGGUGUCGUUUGGGCGAAGCUUCUCAAAUGGAGAAGAUACCUAAACAGAAGUGUCCGACCGUUUUUUUUUUUGACUUCUUCUCUUUUUUUUUUUGCAAUGGCUGAUGGCUUCCCCUUUUUCUGUUCUAUGGAAAUGGUUAUAUAGAGUGUAUGGGUAAGGAGUUAU
rnacentral:lncRNA from 1 species